AUUGAACGCUGGCGGCAGGCCUAACACAUGCAAGUCGAGCGGAGCGGCGGACGGGCGAGUAAUGCCUAGGAAUCUGCCUGGUAGUCGGGGAUAACGUCCGGAAACGGGCGCUAAUACCGCAUACUAUCAGACGAGCCUAGGUCGGAUUAGCUAGUUGGUGGGGUAAGGGCCUACCAAGGCGACGAUCCGUAACUGGUCUGAGAGGAUGAUCAGUCACACUGGAACUGAGACACGGUCCAGACGCCAACGGUAGGCAGCAGUGGGGAGUAUGGGACAAUGGACGAAAGCCUGAUCCAGCCAUGCCGCGUGUGUGAAGAAGGUCUUCGGAUUGUAAAGCACUUUAAGUUGGGAGGCGUUACCAACAGAAUAAGCACCGGCUAACUUCGUGCCAGCAGCCGCGGUAAUUC
rnacentral:rRNA from 1 species